rnacentral:tRNA from 1 species
GCGUUGGUGGUUCACUGGUGGAAUUCUCGCCUGCCAUGCGGGAGACCCGGGUCGAAUUUCUGGCCAAUGCA